UGAGGAAUAUUGGUCAAUGGUCGAGAGACUGAACCAGCCAAGUCGCGUGAAGGAUGACUGCCCUAUGGGUUGUAAACUUCUUUUACAAGGGAAUAAAAUGAGAUACGUGUAUUUUCUUGCAUGUACCUUGGUAAUAAGCAUCGGCUAACUCCGUGCCAGCAGCCGCGGUAAUACGGAGGAUGCGAGCGUUAUCCGGAUUUAUUGGGUUUAAAGGGUGCGUAGGUGGGCUGUUAAGUCAGCGGUGAAAGUUUGUCGCUUAACGAUAAAAUUGCCGUUGAAACUGGUAGUCUUGAGUAUAGAUGAAGUAGGCGGAAUGCGUGGUGUAGCGGUGAAAUGCAUAGAGAUCACGCAGAACUCCGAUUGCGAAGGCAGCUUACUAAGGUAUAACUGACACUGAAGCACGAAAGCGUGGGUAUCAAACAGG
rnacentral:rRNA from 1 species